rnacentral:misc_RNA from 1 species
UCAAACUUGGUCAUUUAGAGGAAGUAAAAGUCGUAACAAGGUUUCCGUAGGUGAACCUGCGGAAGGAUCAUUAACGAGUUUUGAAGUGGGUUUGAUGCUGGCCUUCCCAGGCAUGUGCUCGCCCUACUCUUCAUCCACUCACACCUGUGCACCUAUAAAUGCUAAGAGAUUUAUCCCCUAGACCUUGUCAGGGGUGCGUUCAAAGGAGACUUUGAACGUUGGGUUGAAUCUUUUGCGUUUAACUUUUCUAUAAACUCUUGAAUGUUAUAGAAUGUUUAUGGCCUACGGGCUUGUAUAAACUAAAAUACAACUUUCAACAACGGAUCUCUUGGCUCUCGCAUCGAUGAAGAACGCAGC